ACCACUCGCUUCGCUCGUGCUUAAACUAUAGAAUCCUUUCACUUGCUAGUUUUUUCAAUUCCACACUCGACGUUAAAAUACAACUUUGCACCCUUGUAUAACAAAUAACUAUUAUUCAAAUUUGAAAUUGUAUACGACUCUUUCUGUACUCUCAACGAAUUCUUUCAUGUCUGUUUACGGUGAUUGUAGGUUUUAUACUGCAGAAAGUAAUGUGUAUGUGAUAAUCGUAUCAUAUUAAGGUCCAUUUCAUUUUAUUACUGUUAACCUCUAGUUUUACGGUUCGUGUUUUGUAAAUAAAAUUAAUUUUUGUAAUGUACGUUAUCGUAACUGAUGGAAAUCCGCUUUGGAAGGGAAUAUCGAUUUUGUUGAAGAUUUUGGCAUAAUCUCGACCCCAGUUGAUAUAUUUAUUUGGCUAUUAGCUAGUCAUUUUUAAUCUUUGCUGUGUAACUAAAGGAUUUGUCAAUAAAAAUAGUUUGAAAAUAUUUGAUUCGUAUAUUUCAAUAAAGCAUGUUAUGUUAUAUUGAACAUCUUAAUUUAUUUAGGAAUUAUAAAACUGAUUAAAAUGCCAAGUUAAUAGCCAAUUGCAACAUACUUCGUUGAUACGUUAAGAACACCUCCUUGGAUGUGUGGAUAUAACAUGUGAGCAUCUACCAGCCGUUUUAAUGUUUGAACAGCAUUAUAACAAUUUACUUUAUUAUAUUAGCACAAGGUAGAUUGGUAAAACAAAAAUAAAUCAUAAAAGUAACUGUUUUAAUUGCGUUAUGUCAACUGGGGUCUAGUUAUUGGUUGGUGCUGUGUUCCGAGGAAAAACCUAAAACAACUCGAUAAGAUCUCAUCUAAUUGUUUUGUUGUAUUUCUCAAUUCUAUUAACAUAAGAUUAUCAUCAAUUUCAAUAUUAAUUGGGUCUCUUGCGUGUCAUUUCGUCAUAAUGUCGCUCGUAGGAAAACGUUUUUCUCCUGAACACAGCUGUUUUCGUCCUUGCAUUUAUUCGACAAUGAUUGAACGAGACGAAUAAAUCUGUCACUGAUUACGCAAAUCAACGAACUGUCUUUUACUGCUUAAAAUUAGUACUAGUACGUUUUAUAGAAAAAAUCCGGCUUUCGUUGAUUCGCGCAGUCACUCGACGUAAGAUCGACGGUACGCUACGCUACAUUGGUAUUUGCAGCGUAACAGAGCAUUAUUUUAAUAAUUUUAUAUAACACAAUCGCACUAAACUAUUUGCACUACAUAGAACGCUUGAAGUGCUAUGUAGCGUCACGCAACGUCCAAAAUGAUCGAAAAACUUCGCUACGGCUUUAGCGAAAACUUAAUGCAACAUAACAUGUGAGAAAUUGGUCUUAUAAUACGCUAAUUCGCAUAUUAUGUUGAGCUAAUUCUUCGCUUGAUGAAAACCCAUUCGAAGGUUAGGAUUUGGGUCAAGUCGUAGCCAUAAGGUUGUAAAAUAUUAACAAACGUUAUUAUGUACAGUAAACUUACACAGCAUCAUAUAAUCCUAUAGUAUUUGUUAAGUACUACACUUUCGGUACGAAAAUUUAGAUUUAAAAGUAAUGAAUCAAUAAAUUUCAGGACCAAAGCAAUUAUUUCGGCUUGCUAUUACGGGGCGAUACGCGAUCGUAUCAACUUUGCCCCGUAUAAUUUAUGAAUCUUAUUAAUUGUUGCAUAUAAUCGUUAAUGGUAUGCGAGUUAGUAUAAAGCCAUGUUUCAGUUAAUUUAAAAUGUGAGGAUCGAAAAUGUGAUACAUUUAAUGGAAUGUAUGCUGACCGGUAGAACUGUAUCUGAUUUAAAAAAAAAUUGUCCUUUGGUCGCCUUUUUCUUUAACUUGAUCGUCUAGUUCUGAACAGUUUCUAAAGCUGAGUUUAGACAUGCAAGUUAUUACAGCCAGUUAUGAAACGGAAGUAUAUGCAAGAAAGAGAUGAAGAUAUUUGCCACUCACUCUUACCUAUAGUUGCGUCUCAAAACUUACAGCAAUAACUUGAACUCAGCUUAAGUUUAUGAUUUUAGGUUACAAUCGCUAACCAAUUUUCUCUAUUCACGUAACGUGAAAUCUUUCAGUUAACUCAAAGACGUGUACUAAUUUAAUUACUUCAAUGGGUUAUAGAUUAUAUUUAGAGCAAAGUAGGGGAUUCUAUUUGCAUGGUAUUACUUGCAUGCUCAUUAUCUAAUUUAAGAGCUUUAAAUUUUACUUGUAACUACUUUAGAAGAACGAUUAUAUUUGGCUACCAAAGGAUUAAUAAAAAAAUCAUCACUUCAUCAGAAAUUGCGUCUUGUAAGGUUACCCGUGUCAUAUUACAAUAAUGUUGCAUAAAAUAACUAGGAGAUUAAACACUGAUAUUGCAAAAAAACAAAACACAAUUUCAAAAACAACACUUUACUACAAAUUUCUCUUGAUACAUAUCAACUUUUGGACCGCUACAUUAAAUUUGAUCUCUGCAUCCAGUUACUGCCAUAUAUCGGAAAAUGGUCACACUUUGUAAAUUAUUGCUAGUCCUUCGGACAUUUUCGUAUAAAGCUAUUUAUUUAAAAACCUAGGCGUUCAUAAAUUAAAAGUGCACAGUAAUCGAGAGGGGAAAUUCAUUAUUACAUACGUGGUAUGAGUUUGACAGAGUAUAUUGUAAAUAUGAAACAUUUAUGUAAUAAUUUUAUUUCAAAUAUGCCAACAGCCGCGUGUUAAUAGCAUUGAGCCGUCAAUUAGAUUAUUAUACAUGCAAUUCUUAUAUUCCUUGAAAUAACAUUUCUUAGGGCGUCCGCUUGUUGACGCGGGUGCAGGGAACGGGUGACCUGGUUAACGGAAAGAGCGACGCUACGUGGUCGUGACGCGUGCGACGUUAUUAUACUCUGUCAAACAAACUUGUUUGACAGAGUUUAGUAAUAAAUUAUUACCUACAGUGGCACCCGCGCGCGUAGGCCACCACCAACCGGCGGAUGCCCUCAAUGAAUAAAAUACGAAGUCGUAGGUGAAUGUAGACUGUAACGAUGACUAUUUUUUAUCUCUCGAUGGAUAACCAUCAUAAAACUAAUUUAUACACAAAUUAAAGUGAAAAAUAGAUUAACCUAUUGGCAAGUUGUGUAAAAUAAAUAAGCUUACUAUACAUAAUGCUAUUAUUAUGAUGUCACUAGUUAAGUAAGCAAUAUAAAUAUAAGGUAAAUACGA